AGAGACAGCAGCCGCCGCGGUAAUACAGAGGGUGCGAGCGUUAAUCGGAUUUACUGGGCGUAAAGCGUGCGUAGGCGGCUUUUUAAGUCGGAUGUGAAAUCCCUGAGCUUAACUUAGGAAUUGCAUUCGAUACUGGGAAGCUAGAGUAUGGGAGAGGAUGGUAGAAUUCCAGGUGUAGCGGUGAAAUGCGUAGAGAUCUGGAGGAAUACCGAUGGCGAAGGCAGCCAUCUGGCCUAAUACUGACGCUGAGGUACGAAAGCAUGGGGAGCAAACAGGAUUAGAUACCCCCGUAGUCCCUGUCUCUUAUAA
rnacentral:rRNA from 1 species